AGCAGAAGCAGGAAGAGAGCCGGGGGAAGACACCUACCCUGGCCGGAAGACACGAAGAUCCAGAAAAAGGCCAUCCGGGUACAACGUAGCAGUUACAUCGGACUGUGACACUUACUGUUUACAGGAGACUAUAAAACUUUGCCCAGUCGUCACUUGGGGCCCGCCUGCACCCAGGCCGUCAUUAAAACAGCAUGUUGCUCCACACCGCCUCGUGUUGUCUGUUGGUGUGCUCUCAGGGUGGAAACGAUACAAGAACGUUACACUUACAGGCUUUAGUUUAUAUUAUUCUCAUAGAAGACUUCCUCAUAAUCCAAUUUAAAAAAUGAGAGUUUCCCUGCACAAGCUCUUGCUUUGCCUGAUGCCAUCCAUGUAAGACGUGACUUGCUCCUCCUUGCCUUCUACCAUGAUUGUGAGACUUCCCCAGCCACGUGGAACUGUAAGUCCCAUUAAACCGCUUUCUUUUGUAAAUUGCCCAGUCUUGGAUAUGUCUCUUUUUUUUAAUUUAAUUUUAUUAUUAUUAUACUUUAAGUUUUAGGGUACACGUGCACAAUGUGCAGGUUUGUUACGUAUGUAUACAUGUGCUAUGUUGGUGUACUGCACCCAUUAACUCAUCAUUUAGCAUUAGGUAUAUCUCCUAAUGCUAUCCAUUCCCCCUCCCCCCACCCCACAACAGUCCCCGGAGUGUGAUGUUCCCCUUCCUGUGUCCAUGUGUUCUCAUUGUUCAAUUCCCACCUAUGAGUGAGAACAUGCGGUGUUUGGUUUUUGUCCUUGCGAUAGUUUACUGAGAAUGAUGAUUUCCAGUUUCAUCCACGUCCCUACAACGGACAUGAACUCAUGAUUUUUUAUGGCUGCAUAGUAUUCCACAUUUUCUUAAUAUGUGCCACAUUUUCUUCAUAGUAUGUGCCACAUUUUCUUAAUCCAGUCUAUCAUUGUUGGACAUUUAGGUUGGUUCCAAGUCUUUGCUAUUGUGAAUAAUGCCGCAAUAAACAUACGUGUGCAUGUGUCUUUAUAGCAGCAUGAUUUAUAGUCCUUUGGGUAUAUACCCAGUAAUGGGAUGACUGAGUCAAAUGGUAUUUCUAGUUCUAGAUCCCUGAGGAAUCUCCACACUGACUUCCUCAAUGGUUGAACUAGUUUACAGUCCCACCAACAGUGUAAAAGUGUUCCUAUUUCUCCACAUCCUCUCCAGGACCUGUUGUUUCCUGACUUUUUAAUGAUCGCCAUUCUAACUGGUGUGAGAUGGUAUCUAUCUCAUUGUGGUUUUGAUUUGCAUUUCUCUGAUGGCCAGUGAUGAUGAGCAUUUUUUCAUGUGUUUUUUGGCUGCAUAAAUGUCUUCUUUUGAGAAGUGUCUGUUCAUGCCCUUCGCCCACUUUUUGAUGGGGUUGUUUGUAUUUUUCUUGUAAAUUUGUUUGAGUUCAUUGUAGAUUCUGGAUAUCAGCCCUUUGUCAGAUGAGUAGGUUGUGAAAAUUUUCUCCCAUUCUGUAGUUUGCCUGUUCACUCUGAUGGUAGUUUCUUUUGCUGUGCAGAAGCUCUUUAGUUUAGUUAGAUCCCAUUUGUCAAUUUUGGCUUUUGUUGCCAUUGCUUUUGGUGUUUUAGACAUGAAGUCCUUGCCCAUGCCUAUGUCCUGAAUGGUAUUGCCUAGGUUUUCUUCUAGGAUUUUUUAUUAGCAGUGUAAAAAUGGACUAAUACACCACAGCCCCAAGGAUACUCAUUCAAAUUUAUUCUUCAGUAUUAAAAAAUUAGUGCCAAAGAGUAAAGAUCAUGACAUUUUUUUUCCCCACCACCAUAAAACCAAGACCUAGUUUGUGUCUGGUACAUGGUAGGAACUCAUUAAAUACUUGUUGAAUGAGUGAAUGAUCUCCAAAUGGCAAAUUUUACUCUUCCAAAAUUAAAUUUCGUUCUCUGCUCCCUGUUAUGUUCUUUUUGAAAAAAAUUUUCUCAACCAUAACUUUCCAUGUCUGUUAUAAGCCAUUCAUUAGAGUUUUUUGUCAGGUCAGCGCAUAUUUACAAAUCUAGUUAGUUCUUAUUUUUCCAUUACAAACAAAUGUUAGAACAUCAUUCUCCAAAACCCUAUCUCAGAAACAGACAAAUUUGCUUUUAUUUUUGAAGUUUAUUGUUUAGUUUAAAUCAGAUUUUCUAGAUCUUUCCUUUUUACAAUACAAACAUGAAUUCUGUUAACUGAGACUACUUGAAGCUACCCAGUUACCCAGUGUCAGUUUGUACUAACUAUAGAUUUUUAGACCAAUAGCCCUUGUUUUCUCCAUACAUUUCUUGGAAUUUUCUAUUGCUUUUGGUAUUAAGAUUUUUUUUUUUUUGGUCAAAACACUGGGUUUGCCCACCUCCUCCUCCUCCUCCAACAAGAUGCCAGAAAGAAAGAAGCAUGAGUCAUAGGAAAAUGAAAGAGGAAUGUCUCAAAUAUUAGGAUGAGAAGACUGCUCUUCUCAUCUAACAGAUUCUCAUUUCCUGCCCCGCGUCAUUUCUUCCCAUUGAAAUAACAACUGUAAUUCUAGUCAUGGGUGUGUGAGUGUUUGUGAGGGUGGGUGGGAGGUCUUCAGAGGUCUCAAUAAAAAAGAGAGAGUAUGAAACUUUUGUUAUUUCCUGUUUCUGAAUAUGUCUUUUGGUUAAGGAUGUUGGAAGGGGUGAGAAUCUUUGGAUCUCUGUAGUGCUUGUAGUGGUGAUGGGGAGUAUUGAAUGUUUCCAAGCCAGUACGGCACACUGAAUAACUGGAUCAGAGUUCUCUUUUGGUGGGAAUAAUAUUAAUAAAUAAUGGAAGGUAACUACAUGUUGAAGACUUGUAGAGUAAUCAUGAGUUUCACCUUCUCAUGCCAGGUGACUCUUCUUUAUGGGUAUAGUCCUGUAUUUGGUCUUCUAGCUUCCAUGUGAAACUAGUCAACUUCGAGAAGUUUUGAUCUGUCUCAACAGAAAUGAAUCAGGGAGAGGGGAAACAAAUAAAUAAAUGGUAGUUACAUCAAGGUGGUAUACUAAGUAUUAAAUACAAAUUCUCAAAACUUUUACCCAUUUUCAUUUAAAAAUAUUUAUUUAUUAUUUGUACUCUCAUAGAAAAAAAUAAAGAUCUCUCAAGAGGUCUCUCAAGACAUUUGCAAACAAUAAGGUUUUGUUUUUUCAUGAGCCAAGAUGGAUUUUGGUUUGUCCUGACUUUCCUUGAAGUAGUUGUAUUUCAAAUGAUUAAUUGCCUUGAGCUGCUUUUAAAAAUUGUUUUCCUGCUUCUGUGAUUUUUUUAUUGUGACAAAAUUUGAAGGAAGUAGUAGAAAUAAUAUUAAUUAUUGAAGUUUCAAGAAUUUCUUCUUUUUCCUUUCCUUUAGGAAUAAAAUUAAAAUGUAAAAAUCUUGGAAUUUGGCAUUAACCAGCUUAAAAUUUAGUAUGCUAAAAAUAAUAAUAUCAAUUCAACAUUAUUCUAUGAAACUUAUACAAAAUUUUGGAAACAUGGUCUUUACAGAUGCUAUAUAUUUCAGUUAUACAAGUUCAGAAUUAAGUGUUUAUGCCACGUUACAUUUAGAUUAUAGAGUUACUUAUAUUUCCUCACCUUUCAUAUUUUAUUAAAGAGAUUCUCUGACUCUCUAGCCUCUAGUAGCUUUUGAUAACAGUCCUUUCUCCCUAGGGAACCCAACCUCUCUUAUUAAUGAAGUCCAAAUAUGAGUCACCAAUCCACAUUCCCAAACACUAUGCUUUUUAGGUGGCUCUUCGUACUCCUUUACCUCUGGACCAGGCUAAUCAGAAGUGGAGGACUUCAAGUUAAUAAGUCAUGUUAUAGAAUUUUUUCUAUUAUAACUAGGGCUCAGUAUUUUUUUAAAAUCCUAAAAUACCACUAAAUAUCUUUGGCCACAUAAAAGACUAGAUUUCCAGUUCAGAAUGACAACAGAUAUAGGGCUUGACAUAUCAGGUACCAAAUAAUGCUGUGGCAAAGUUUGGAUUUUUUUUGAAGAUAGUAAGAUGUAUGCCAAUCUGUAAUAUCACUUGCAUUAAUGGAUUUCCGAGUACUAUAUAAAUCGACGAUUAUUCUUAUUAAGCAGUGCUAAUAUAUUUUACAAACAAAAAUUCUCCCCAGUUUUAUCCCUUUAUAUGUGUCAUAUCAAAAGACUUAGUCAAAGCUGCUUUCUACUGCUUCUGAUGUUAUAUGCUUCAUAAAAGUGUCCCUGUGCUAUGCUUCUAAUGAAACUUUAUUUUGUCUUGUUUUAUGUAACACAUUUGAAAAUUCUAUCUUUUAAAAUACAUUAUUUUUAUUGCUACAGGGGUAUUAUGUUAUGAUGCUUUCUUUUACAGUUUAUUCUUGUAUUGACUUUAGUUCCAAAAAUAAAUUAAUUCAUAUAUUACUUUUGGUAAUACCUGAAAAAAAUUAAGUUAUUCACAAAAUAUUUGUGAAUCCUGAAUCAGUGUAAGUUCUAUUCAAUUACAGAAAUAGUAAUUGCAUACCUACUAGCACUAUCUGAAGUUAUAUAAAAUGAGAUUUUUGUUUUCUUAUUUUUGCUUUUGCCUUCUUCCAGAGAGUAUUGAGUUCCACGAGAGAAAGGCCUUUGUUGGUUCACUGCUGGAUUGCUGGUUUCUAUAAUAUUUCAUGGCACAUAGUAAACUGCCAAUAAAUAUUUGCUGAAUGAAUUCACUUAUUCAGAAAAUAUUUAUUGAGUGUCUCUUGUAUGCCACAUAUCUAGGCACUGAGGAUAGAACAGUGAAUGGGCCAAAGUCCUGACUUUUUGGAAUUUAUUUUCAAGUGGGAAGAGAGAGAUUAUAAAAUACGUGACCCUGAAAAUAUAUGUCAUAUGUCUGAUGUUGAUAGUGCCAAGAAGAAAAAUAAAGCAGGACAAGGUGUGGGGAGAGAGAAUUAUUAUCCUAGCUAAGGAAUUAAGUGAAGGCCUCUCUGAGAAGGUGAAAAAUGAUUGAAUGUUACUACUCCUGUGCCACUGCCACUGGUGAUACUGAAGAAAGUGGAAGACCAGGUCUUAGACUCCAAGGUGAGUAUAAUAUGAUGAUAAAGUCAGACAUAUUACCUAUCAUAAACAUAAUGUGCAAUGAUAGUGUCAUACGUACAUGCUAUGGAACAGUGUCUGGAGAAUGAAGCAUAGCCACCUAUUAGCAAGCAGAGUAUAUGGUGGUGGGGUGGAGGAUGACUACAGUCUGAAAAUGCAGAACUGAUUCUAGGCUGUGAAGGUUCUGCCAGAUCAAGGACUUUGGGCUUCAGUCAAUAGCUGGUGGGUGACUAAUGGUAGUCUUUAAACAUGGAAAGGGACCAAUCAGAGCUACAUUCUAAAAACUAACUGGUAGCAAAAUGGGUGGAUUCGAGGGCAUGAGAUUGGGUCAGCUGAUGUUUUGAUAGAAUUUGUGAUCAAAUAUUACUUGAAAUAACAGAACCUUAGUUGGGCCAAAUCUUUUCUUCAAACAAAAGAAUAGUGCUUCCAAGAUUUUUGUUUUUAUGGUCGAACCGGAUUACCAUAUAAAGACAUAAGAAAGAAAGAAAUAAUAUUUCAUGACAAACUAGCUGAGAAGGAUCAAGAGAAAGGCAAGAAUGAAGAUUUAUAAUCUGGGAUUUAUAGAAUAGCUGUAAUUGGUACAGGGAAAACACCCAAUUUAUCUGGAUAUACUUGUGUUUCCCUAUUUAAUCCACAUGGUGUCAUUUUUUACAUGUGUUUUCUCAGAGCAGUUAUUUUCAUUCACAGGCUGUGGUGAUGACUCACUUCAUUCCCUUUUGGGUAUUAGAGGCUCUUAUUUCAUUCAGGAGAUUUUCCGAUUCACCAGACAGUGCAUUAGACAUUAUUGUCUUGUUGGAAUUUGGCUGGGGGAAAAUACUUAAAGAAAUAUAUCACUGUUGCUUGUACCACCCUCACAAACACAUUUUAUUUAGCAAAAUCUGAACCUGAUGAGGAAUCCGUAUUAGUUUGCUAAGGCUGCCAUAACGAAGUACCAUAGACUGGGUGGCUUAAAUGAAAGAAGGUAUCAUCUCACAGUGCUGAAGGCUAGAAGGCUGAGAUCAAGGUGUAGGCAGGGUUGGUUCCUGUUUUGGACAUUGAGGGAAAGAUACGUUCCAGCCCUCUCUCCUUGGCUUGUAGAUGACAUUCUUCUCCCAGUGUUUUCACAUGGUCUUCCAUCUGUGCAAGUCCCUCUGCACAAAUCUGUGUCCAAAUUUCCUCUUCUUGUAAGGACCCCGUGCUUAGGGUCUACUCUAAUAACCUCAUUUUAACUUAAUUACCUCUUUAAAGGCCCUAUUUUCAAAUAUGGUCAUAUUCUGAGGUACUAGGGGUUAGAACUUCAGCAUAUGAAUUAGGAGGAUGGGGAAUUCAGAUGAUAAUAAAGUCUAAAUGUUUGGCUUUUUCUCUCCAGAUACCCAGUUUCCCUAAAGUGACAAUCACACCCAGUGACUGGCUGAUGCAGUGCUAUAAAGGUCUGUUCCACUUGCUGCAAAUUCAGGACAAUUCCGUAAAGCCAUCCCAGCCCCAGAACUCGCUGUGCCAUGAGCUGAGUUCUUUGUUAUGAGAGUAUCACAGCUCCCCUCUCUACCUAGUCCUACUUCCUCACUCCCUCAUAAGUGUUGGGUCCUUAUAAAUUUGCCAAGGAACUCAACCUGUGACAACUUUAGUUCAAUAGAUUUGACCCUUUCCUUGCAAGGGAACUAUUGGUUUCUUACUAUUAUUGUCAGUUGUCCUCAUUAACAAAGUCAUUUACUAACUGGCUGCAAAUUACUGAAAAUUGUUUGGAACGACAAUUUUUCGUAUAGACUUCAAUGAUUAUUCUGGCUAAAGGUCAUUUUUUUUCUCUGCACUUCUGUAGGACAGCCCUGUACAAUUUAGUACUUUAAUGGUGAUUUGUAUUUUUUGCUCAUUCACAUUUGUAAAUUAUUUAAGGUUGCACAUUUCUUGAAAGUUGAUAUGCUUCUAUCAGAUUUUUUUCUGUUCUUCAAAAUGUUUAACGUAGUUUCAGAGCUCUAGUUGGUACUUAAGGAAUUUGGGAGCAUACAGUAGUGUAGAUACCCCAGAAUUUUUAAAUGAGAGUGUGGAAUCUGAAUUAUAAAACUCAUAUUAGGGAAAGCCUACACUGGGAAAAGAAAUUGCAUAUGUGGUAUAAAAUAAAUAGAAGAUCUGUGUUUGAAUAUUGACUAUGCUGUUUACUCACUAUGUGAUCUUAUAAAAGUUACUUACCCUCCCUGAGCCUGAGUUUUCUCAUCCAUAAAAUAGGAAUAUUUUUAAUAGCAAUCUUAUAAAGUUGCUGUGAAUGUUAAAUGAGAUGCAGUAUUAAAUAAGAUGCAUGCAGUAUUUAGCACAUGAUUCAAUCAUAAAAUGGAUAUUACCUUCACACUUCAAUAUUUCUGAAUUCAUGAUGCAUCUUGUGAUUAGUGUCAAAAGAAAUUUGUCAAUUUUACACAACGAAGUGGAGUGUGAUACAUUAAUAGUUCUUAACGUCUAUAUGAGUGGACUUAGUCAUCAGAGAAGAUAACUAUUCACCCAGUUACUUGCCUCAGUUAAACACCUUGUAGUUGUGACAGAACCUUAAAUUUGGAUACCUAAUUAUUAUUUUAAGGUGUCCCCAAAAGGAUUACAUUAUAAUCCAAAGACAUAGCUUUAACAUAAAUGGUUACAGUGGAGCAGAUUGCCUAUCAUAUGCCAAGUAAUUCAAAUAAAGAUGAUGGAAAUUUUUAGAUAUUUUAGAAUUAGCUGUAUAACCUUAAAAAUUAGAAAAAGUUGUAUGACCAGUUGAUGAAUUAUGAAAACCAAACUCUAAAUCUAAUCCUAAAGAAGCAAUCAGACAAACCCAAAUUGAGGGGCAUCCUACAAAAUAACUGAUCUAUGUUCUUCGAAAAUGUCAGUGUCUGGGAAAGCAAAGCAAAGCAAAGCAAAGUUGAGGAACUUUUUAGAGUUAAGAGAGACUAAACCAGUAUGACAACUAAAUAAAAUAUAUGGUCUGGAUUGGAUCUUGAAUUAGAAAAAAUAAAAUUGCCAUGAAGGACAAAUUAGGACAAUUGGUAAAAUAUGGUAUUGACAAUUUGAUUAUCAUAUUGCAUCAAUGUUAAAUUUUCUGAAUUUUCUUAUUAUACUUAUUAUAUUAUAUAAAAUUCUUAAAUACUAUAAUUAAUCUAAUUAUACUGACUUAUUUAAGAGUUUUCCCAGGUUAAGUUCCUCAGCAAGUUUGUAAGGACUCAACACUUGUGAGGGAGUGAGGAAGUAGGAUUAGGGAGAAAGGGGAGCUGUGAUACUCUCACAACAAAGAACUCAGCUCAUGGCACAGAGAGCUCUGGGGCUGGGAUGGCUUUACGGAGUUGUCCUGAAUUUAGGGCAAGUGGAGCAGACCUUUAUACCACUGCAUCAGCCAGUCACUGGGUGUACACUGCCCCAGGGAAGAGUACAUGACAUUCAUCAAAGUGUGUCUCUUUAGCCAAGGAUAAUUUCCAGAAGGGGAUUCAGCUGCAAGCUGUUCAUUGCCAAAACUCUUCAGCUGAUGGGGAAAAUUAGUAGUUCAGUCCUAAAGAGGGAAGAGGAAUAUAGGUGUCAGACCACAGCAUCCAAUCUGGUUAUCAUAUCUGUAAUUUACUUUAAAAUGAUUCAGUAAGUAAAAUGAUGUGAGAACAAAGAUAAUACCAAAAAUGCGGAAAAGCAAGAAAGAUCUCAAAUUAGCAAAAUACGAAAAAACCGGUGAAUCUGGGUGAAGUACUGUUUUCAGCUUUUCUGUAGGUUUAAAUUUAAAAAGAAAAAGUUUUAAAAAUGAAAUUCCCAGGUGAUACCAGUACACUAGCAGAUUGGAGGACUGUGGAAUGAAGUCAUCUUUAGAAUUCAUCCCAGCUCUAGCAUGAGGGAAUUCUGUGACAUGAUCAGAUUGGUUAUGGUGCAUUUGCUUUGGGCUUUUGAAGCCAUGGAACCACAGCAUAUUUCCUACAUGUUUGUUUUGUCCAUAAGUUCUCAAACUUUAGUAAAUCAUAUUGUUUAAUUAAAUGGGUUUGAGGGAUUGUAAUACCAACCCUGAAUUUAUAAAUAAAGCUGUUCUUUUCUCUAUUUUGAUGAACAGUGGGCAAGUUUCUGUAUUAAAGAUCAAUUAUUAUCCAUUUGAAGAAAAACAAGGAAGCUGAGAAUAUUCAAGAUAAAUUUAUUGAGAUUAUUAGAUCUCACAGUUAAUGAAAUUGUGUUGUAAUAGAUACAUACUGUCAAUAGUUUAUUGAAAAACUGCAAGCAAAGCAAAUGUCUUUGCCUUUAUUAAAAGUCAGGGGAAGAUAUAGCAGGCUCAAAUAUUUAAUAUUUAUCUUUUUAAUUGUGAAAUCAUCUUUGGGAUAUUUAUUUAUUAUGAAAUACAUUUUAAAAUAUUGCUUAAUUCUAAAAUACGAUUUAAAAUAAACUAUUUUUCUGUGGUUUUUACUGAGUCCUCAUCUCACUAGGCUGGAAUAUUGAUCCCAACCACAUCUUGUUUUAGAUGUGAGGAUGGUCAUGUCUUCCCACUCUGUUUUCAGUGUUACAUCAAAAAGUCCCAAUUCAAGGGCACUGAAGACAGUUAUUUUCUUAUUAAAGGUUUGCCAACUCCUUUCUUACAGGGAUCUUGCUGAAUGCUUUCAACAAUCAUUUUUAAGCAUAGACUCUAGAGUCAGUCUCCCUGGAUCUGAAUUCCAGUUCUAACACGUAGCUAUGUGCUCUUUGGAAAAUUACUUAACCGCUCUGUGUCUUAGUUUCCUCAUCUAUAAAAUACAGUACUUAUAGAGUUAAUAGUUAAUAUUACCUAUGUUAUAGAGUUAUUUUGAAGAUUAAAUGAGUUACAAUAUGUAGAACACCAGGCAUGUAAUAAGUACUUAAUAAGGAUUAGGUAUUAUUAUUGUCAUCAUUAUUAGAUAUUUAUACUGCAUACUAGAAUCAUAUGUUUUAACUUAGAUCAUUAUUAUUAUGUUGAUUUUAUAAAAAUAAAGAUGCAGGUUAAUUAAAUGUUAAUCUGAAAUCGCCAAGGUCAUCUAGCUAGUGAAGGAGGGGAGCUGGAAUUCAAACUUCAAGCCCAAUUUUCUUUACACUGUUGUGGACUCAUGGGUGAGAGAAUUCCAGUGUAUUUUUUUGUCAGCCUCCUGGGACCAGCAGCAGAUUAUCAUUUGGAAUGGACUUAAAUAGGCCCUGCCACCUCCAAUGUGUUUUUACAUGUAAUCCUGCGUGCCACAGAUGUAAGCAUCUGGGGACUUUAUUUCCUAUCAGAUUAUAAAUUAUUGAGAGCACAGUCUAAGUCUUGUUGGUAUUUGUGUCCCAUGCACUGCUUAGUGCAAUGCUUUGAAGAUAAUAGUUGUUCAGAAAUUGUCAAUAGCAUUCCAGAACAAAAUUACUAUUGAUUUUUAACAUAGUUAGGCUGGGUGCAGUGGCUCAUGCCUGUAAUCCCAGCACUUUGGGAGGCCGAGGCGGGUGGAUCACAAGGUUAGGAGAUCGAGACCAUCCUGGCCAACAUGGUGAAAUCCCGGCUCUACUAAAAAUACAAAAAAUUAGCUGGGCAUGGUGGCAUGUGCCUGUAGUCCCAGCUACUCAGGAGGCUGAGGCAGGAGAAUCCCUUGAACGCGGGAGGCGGAGGUUGCAGUGAGCUGAGAUUGUGCCACUGCACUCCAGCCUGGGCGACAGCGCGAGACUCCAUCUCAAAACAAACAAACACACAAACAAACAUAGCUGAUGCUCGUGUCUUAGUUUUACAUGUUGCUGUUCCGACAUUUAGUAGGGAUGCAAUAGCCAAGACUCAAGCUUGCCACAAGGAAUUAAACAAUUUGAACUUUGCUUUGUCCACCAAUAAAAUUCAUCCCAUUAUGGUUUUGUGUAAAACAAGCCUUAUUCUCUGCCUAUAGAUUAUUUCAAAAUGUUAAUUAGUGUGGGCAGACCUGAUAAUAAUUUCCUGAUUUGUAACUAGAUCUUUUAAUUUAUCUAACCUUAAAGCUUUGUGUUAUUCUUUUCUCCUUAUGAACUUAUUGCCAUUUCAAUCAAGCUUGUGCAAUCGUCAACCCACGGGCCACAUGCGGCUCAGGACAGCUUUGAAUGCAGCCCAACAUAAAUUCGUAAACUUUCUUAAAACAUUAUGAUUUUUUUUUUGCGUUUUUUUUUCUUUUAGUUCGUCAGCUAUUGUUAGUGUAUUUUGUGUGUAUCCCAAAGACAAUUCUUUUUCUUCCAGUGUGGCCCAGGGAAGCCAAUAUGGAUAUCCCUGAUUUAGAUGAUAGUCCGCUUCUGACACUUCAUUGAGCUUCAUUUACCUAAUCUGCCACAAGCAAAAGUUAGAUUAGAUGGCUUCUAAAAUAUGACUUUGUAAAUUUUUGCUCUUUAUAAGAAGAUAUUUGUAUGUAAACCAGUUUAUUUCCAUACUAACCGAGAUUGUCUCCUUUCAGAGUAACAAAUCAGAUUGCUAUCCAUUUGGCCUGGUCAUUUGAGUCUUGCUGAUUGGUCUAUGAGAAACAUGGCCAAAAUUUUGAAUCUGCUCUUUAGGGGGACAUUUAGGUGAACUGGUAUGAACUGAUAUUUUAGAAUUGUGUCCAGUUGAAUGUGUGUGUGUGUGUGGGGUGGGGGGGGGUUGCCACAUUAUCAGUUUUUCAUCUAAUUUUAAUAUUAUUUGAAGGGUCCUAGUCAACUUUGUUCAUGUAUUUCUUCUUAAACACAAUAUAAACAGACCCAUUAUUAGGAUUCAAACUUUGAACUGUAUCCUUUCCUCCUUCCUUCCCAACUCCUUUCUCUGCCCCUACUCCUCCCUCCUUUCUUUCUCUCUCCUUCUUCCUUUUCUUCCUCUCCCUUCUCUGCCUUUCCUCUCCCCUCCACAUACUUUCUCCUUCUUCCCUUUCUUCCUCCCUCCCUUGCUUACUCACUCCUUUCUUUCUUUCUGAGAAAGUUUAAUGAGAAUCCACUGUGAGGCACUUUUCUGAGGACUUAACAAUUCAAGCCUUAAAUAAGGUCUAGUCUUGUCCUCAGGUAGCUCUUAGACUCAUAGGGCACACUGAAAAGAAUAGAUACUAAUUAUAAAAUAAGUUGGUAAGUACAGCAAUAUGAAAAACAGUGCAUUCUCAUAGGGUUAGAUAUAGUUUAGGGUUAGGAAGCAUUCCAAAUGAGGUGAUAGUUGGGUUGAGACUAGUCAGACAAGGAUGGUCAUGGUAACAAUAUAUACAAUAUAUCUACUAUAUAUAUACACAAUAUAUAUACACAAUAUAUAUAGAAUAUAUACUGUAUAUAUAUAAUGCAUAUAUAUACAUAUGUGUGUGUGUAUAUAUAUAUAUGUAUGUAUAUAUAUAUAUAUUUCCCUGCAUCCCUUUUACUGAACUUUUGGAGUUUCAUGACUGCCCUUUAGAACCUGGAAAAGAACACAAGCUACAGUAAAGAAAAAUAUGCCUGUCCAAACAAAUUUGAAAGGUCAACUCUCAGUCUAUCAAAUUGAGAUUCUUGUCCUACACUUGAUUCUCUUAGUGUAACACCCACAUGGUUUGAAGGGAAACAUGCCCUUUAGAAAACAGGACAGACGGUUAUGGGCCGGGUGUGUCAAACUUUUUGUAGUACCCUGGGUUUUAUCAAAAUAACGCCAUCCAGUUUUGCCAAGGGCUUUGCUCCUCACUUAAAAAGACCUUAUAUUUCAAUCCGUGUGUUUCAUAUUCAUUUAGACAUCUCAUCAAGCUAGAGUUGGGUAAGAGUUGUUUAGUAUCCAAAACAUCUUUCCUACUAGCCUUUGAUUCUUAGAAAUAAAGAAUUAUGCCGGGUGUGGUGGCUCACGCCUAUAAUCCCAGCACUUUGAUAGGCCAAGGAAGGCGGAUCACUUGAGGUCAGGAGUUCAAAAACAGCCUGGGUAACAUGGUGAAACCCCAUCUCUACUAAAAAUACAAAAAUUUGCUAGGUGUGAUGGGGCUUACCUGUAGUCCCAGCUACUCAGGAGGCUGAGAAUUGCUUGAACCCAGGAGACAGAAGAUGCUGUGUGCUGAAAUUAUGCCACUGCACUCCAGCCUGGGUGGAGAGUCUGAGACAGAGUGAGACUCUCAAAAAAAAAAAAAAAAAAAAAAAAAAAGAAAGAAUGAAUGAAAGAAUUACACUUUGCCAAAUGUAAAUGAAUUUCGGACCCUUACUUUUCAAAGGGGCUUUGCAAAUCGCCUUGUGCUGUAGGCAAAUCUGGAAAAAUCUUUGUGUCCCUAUCCUGAUUCUAGAGAUACUCAGGCAUGGGAACCUUUCUCAAAGUGAUCUCUCUACAUUAGAAUCCCAACAGGGGUUCCUAAAAAUGCCUCUUGAUGGGCCCCAGUACAGAUUUACUAAAUUUGAAUCCCUUCUUGUUUUAUAUAAUGUGAUUCUUUAGAAGGAACUGCAC
rnacentral:lncRNA from 1 species